UACGUAGGGUGCAAGCGUUAAUCGGAAUUACUGGGCGUAAAGCGUGCGCAGGCGGCUUUGCAAGACAGAUGUGAAAUCCCCGGGCUCAACCUGGGAACUGCAUUUGUGACUGCAAGGCUAGAGUACGGCAGAGGGGGAUGGAAUUCCGCGUGUAGCAGUGAAAUGCGUAGAUAUGCGGAGGAACACCAAUGGCGAAGGCAAUCCCCUGGGCCUGUACUGACGCUCAUGCACGAAAGCGUGGGGAGCGAACAGG
rnacentral:rRNA from 1 species